GUUUUGUAGGGGAGGAUGAAGCCCUCGAUCCACCCACCGGAGGCAGUGGGGCGCGCUCUAGCCCAGCACGAACAGGAGGGGCAAACUCGAGGUCUCCAAGAACCGGCGUUUGAAGUCUCAAGUCAGACUCGGAGGCGCCCCAACUCAGCAGGCUGGCUUUCCCCGGGGGUAAUCCGUGGGCCGAUCGCAGCCUCAGCGCCCUCUCCCGAGAGAGCUUCAAACCAACGGGGUCCCGCCCCCAAUCAAACAGAGGUCCCCAAGGCUCUGGCCUUCGUGGGUUCCCGGCGUGGGUUUCCUCUGCUGCCCGCGAGGGCGGCGGGGACCCGCAGCACUGGGGCCACCUCGCAGCCCCGUCAGUGCUGGCCCGAGGCAGGUCUGAGCUGCCCCACUGCGCCCCAGCCCUCCGGGCCCUCGAGUCGGUCUCCCGCACCCAGCAGACCGCGGAGCCCACGCGCGACCUCUCCGGCCACGCCCGAAGGCAGUCGCGUCUCGGCCGUAUCUCCCAGCGGGGGCGUUUUCCUCCGCGGUCCUCCGCAGGCAGCAGCUGGAUCGCGUCUGCUCUGCCACCCGGCCGGCGGGAGGACUCGCGGACCAAACAGCUCUUCCCGGAGGCCGCCCGGCACUCCCGUGUCGCCCCUAAUCCGGCCGCCUGGCCUUCCGGGAGGGGCGUGCGGCCGCAGGGCAAUCUCCCUGCACGCGGUGCCCGCGCCCGGCCCUCCCGGGCCUCGCGCCUCCAGCCCGCCGGCAGCCGGACCGCCCGCUACGCACCGCUUGCUAGGAACCGGGGCCGGGCCCGGGACCGGCUUUUAUGCAGACUCUACCAUGCAGCGGAGUGGGGGUAGUGGCCUGCGCUCAGGUCAGGGGUAUCUUGGUGGCGCAGGAGAGGGUCACCAGUCGGUGAGCGACAGAGUUCGGGGAAUGCGAGCCCUCCGGGAAGGCCUGCAGACCUCUUCGGAACCACGUCAGUUAUCCUCGGUCGGAUCGGGAAAUGAAGAGCUUCGAAACUUGUCCCUUUCUGGCCAUGUUGGAUUUGACAGUCUGCCUGACCAGCUGGUCAACAAGUCUACGUCUCAAGGAUUCUGUUUCAACAUCCUGUGUGUCGGUGAGACGGGAAUUGGCAAAUCCACAUUAAUGGACACUUUAUUCAACACCAAAUUCGAAAGUGACCCAGCUACUCACAAUGAACCAGGUGUCCGGUUAAAAGCCAGAAGUUACGAGCUUCAGGAAAGCAAUGUUCGGCUGAAGCUAACCAUUGUCGAUACUGUAGGAUUUGGAGACCAGAUAAAUAAAGAUGACAGCUAUAAGCCGAUAGUGGAAUACAUUGAUGCCCAGUUUGAGGCCUACCUGCAAGAGGAAUUGAAGAUCAAACGGUCUCUCUUCAACUAUCAUGACACGAGGAUUCAUGCUUGCCUUUACUUCAUCGCCCCUACUGGACAUUCACUAAAGUCCCUCGACCUGGUCACCAUGAAAAAGCUGGACAGUAAGGUGAACAUCAUUCCAAUAAUUGCAAAAGCAGACACAAUUGCCAAGAAUGAACUGCACAAAUUCAAGAGUAAGAUCAUGAGUGAACUCGUCAGCAAUGGGGUCCAAAUAUAUCAGUUUCCUACAGAUGAAGAAACAGUUGCGGAGAUUAAUGCGACAAUGAGUGUUCAUCUCCCAUUUGCAGUGGUUGGAAGUACUGAAGAGGUGAAGAUUGGCAACAAGAUGGCAAAAGCCAGGCAGUACCCCUGGGGUGUGGUGCAAGUGGAGAAUGAAAGCCACUGUGACUUUGUAAAGCUACGAGAGAUGCUGAUCCGUGUGAACAUGGAGGACCUGCGGGAGCAGACACACGCCCGGCAUUACGAAUUGUACCGGCGCUGUAAGCUCGAGGAGAUGGGGUUCAAAGACACUGACCCUGACAGCAAGCCCUUCAGUCUUCAGGAGACGUAUGAAGCUAAGCGGAAUGAAUUCUUGGGGGAAUUGCAAAAGAAAGAAGAAGAAAUGAGACAAAUGUUCGUUAUGCGAGUGAAAGAGAAAGAGGCUGAACUUAAAGAAGCAGAGAAAGAGCUUCAUGAGAAGUUUGAUCUCCUAAAGCGGACACACCAAGAAGAGAAAAAGAAAGUAGAAGACAAGAAGAAGGAGCUUGAGGAGGAGGUAAACAACUUCCAGAAGAAGAAAGCGGCAGCUCAGCUACUACAGUCCCAGGCCCAGCAGGCUGGGGCCCAGCAAACCAAGAAAGACAAGGAUAAGAAAAAUGCAAGCUUCACAUAAAGCCUGGCAAGCCAAGGAUGUUCCCGCAUUCACCUGCUUUUGCAGUAAUAGUGUACCUCUGCCAUCUGUGUCCUUUGGUUUUAUUUUGUUGUUUACCCUUCCCCAAACACCAGUAACUCUUAACUUGUUUUGCUGAAUGUUGUUGGGUGGUGGAAAAUGAUAGUACAAGGGAAUGACAGCCAAAGCUCUGUGCAGCUGGACUUUUUUCUGGAAAGUAAAUGAUUGCCUUUAAUGCCUGUUCCCAUUGGCAGCAGAAAGCAUGCCUGUUACUUGUAUGUCGCUUUGGAUGGAGGAAAGUGGGGUAAAAUGCUGCCUGUUCAUCUGAUGUGAAAACUUCUCACCGCCUCAGCAGCUGAACUAAAACCCUCAGUAGCCCUGAGAACAAGUUGCAUUUCUUGAUUAUUAAUCCCCAUGAUUGCAGUCGCUGGACUCCGAAUCUCUCCUCUACACCAACUCCAAAGUAAGGUAGAUUUGUAGGUAGGCAGGACACUGGUAGCACUGUUGAUGACUUUUACUCAUGCAUGGAUUUUUCAUUUUACAUUAACAUUCUUUGCCCUAGCUUGUGCUCUGUUCACUUGGGUUGAGACUCAUCUGAAGACCCACCUCUCAGAGCCUGGCUACAUGCUGUGACUGAUCAUGUUUACCAGUGUAACUUUAAUCCACUCACAGAUUCAGAUCUCGUUUCUUAGUAGAAUACUCUUCCACCAAGGAUAGUGGGCACCCCACAGCCUGCCUACUGCUUGCAGUAAGAAAUCUUUCAUAAACACAUCUAUAUUUGCUCUCAGUGGGCUGAGGGGAACGACCUUACAAUUGAUUACAGGCUGUGGUCACCUUUAAUACAGUUUUUCACUAAUCAUGAGAAAAUUGCCACAAAGACUUCAAAUAGAAAAUUUGCUAUAAACCAUGUGUCAUCAGUGGCAAAUUUGAGAAGAUCUUGUCAAAUUUAAGGUCCAACAUAUGAGAAAGAACAUGGGAUGGCUCAAGAAAGUCAAAAUUUCAGCUUCACUUCCAGCUUUCUUGAUGGUAUUUGGAAUCUGGUUGUCUCAAAGGGAUUUUCCUCUCUUGGCCCCUCAUCAUGGGUAGUUCCACUUGUUCUCUGUGUUCUAGAGCCAUCACCUCACUCAAGAGUAGGCCUGACUCAGUGCCAGGACGUACACUUCCUGCCUGGUUGGUAUCGAGAGGGGCGUGGUUAAAUCUCUCUUCCAUGCUCCCUCUUCCUGAUGCUUGAUCCUGCUGCAACUAGAUCCUUCGCUUCCUCUCUAGAGCACCUCCUGUUGUACUUGAGAGGAUAACAUUCUCACGAACCCAGUAUUUUACCUCUUCCUUUUCAGUCUGACUUUCACUAGUUACAAGUAAACAGAUGAGGAUACACUGCACCUCCCCUCUCCCAAUAUAUACUUUUAAAAAGUUAGGUUUUUUUUUUCCUUCCCUUUGCUCCCAGACAUAGGGAGGAGAAAGAAGGAAUGGUCAUCCAUAAUGUAGACGUCAUUAGGCAAAGUAAGAAAAUGGUUCACUCAAAUGGAGACAAACUGGGGUAGAGACUGCAAACUAGACGUGGCAGCACUGUGGUCCUCACAGGUUGAGGACCUGUUGGAUCAGUGUUUUUGUCUUCGCUUUUGUUUUUGUAAGACCUCCCAGCUGUAGAGCAGUCAAGUGCUAGCUGGCCUGCUGACUCUAACCCUGGGCUGAUUGGCUUCUAUGCUGGGCACCUCACAAAAGCUUGAAUACUUGUGUUGUAUGCUUGUUCCAGUCAUUGCUUGUGUGAGCAUUUUUUGUGCCUUGUAAUAGAAAAUACACUUUUAAAUUCUAUGUCUUGCAUUUCUAAAAGCUUUUAAAAUUGAGCCUAGCAACAAAAAGCAUCCAGCUGACUUUUUGACUCCAAGAUUACUUAUUGAUUUUUUUGCAUUAAAUUUUUCAUGGCAAAAUAAAUUUUAUGGAGAGUCAGGGAAUAAAAAGUCAAAAGAAAUAUAGAAGCUUUUUUUUUUUUUUUUAAUAUGUUGCUUCUAAACUUUUCUCUACCCCUGCUCCCUAGCCCGUUAGUUUGUUAUUGCUGCUUUUUCUUUCUGUAUCUAUGCCUUUUUUCACAGUAGUCCUUGGCUCUGCACGGAAUAAAUGAUACCCUCAAAUCUAAUUGGAUGUGCUUUCGCCUUUGCAUCUUCUUCUUUAUGUAACCAUCCCGUUGACAAGCCCUACUCUCUCCUAAUGGACAUAGAGCAUUAGAAGAGCAGGAGCUGUCUGUCACACGUGUUGGGGAAGAGUUACCUCAUUUCCACCAUCGCCUCCUGUUCUUUUAAAGUCUGGGUCAAAUAAUGCACUGCUGUUUGUAUUUGUCAAUGUCCGUUUACAAACCACCAGCUGUGGUGGCUACUGAAGUGACUCCACUACCAAAACAUAAUAGUAAUUAAAAGGAAAUUGGGUGAAACAGGGAACUUGGGCCCAAACCCAAGAUUUUAUGCUGGAAUCCUCUUGCUUAGCUGUCAUGUCAUUGAAGCUGCUGAUCCAAGAACUUGUGGACUGAAGAGAGCAUGUAUCCCUAGCUUGAGGUGACCACCACCUCUGGGACAGAUGGAUCUGUGGUAACUAGUGUCCUGUCCCAUGAACACUGCUCUGAACAGCCUGGGUGGGCUCAGUACCAUCAGGUCAUGAGAUACGGGCAACAUUUUUCUUCCUUCUGUUUUGAGGGUUGUUUUGGUGUUUGGGAUUUUUUUUUUCCUUAACAUUCGCUAUUGCAUGCACAGAGAUGGAUGCAAAUUUUUCUUUGGAGUGUCCUAUUGAUACAGUGUCUUUAUUUUUCAGCUGACCAUCUGCCUCUUGAGAGAGAGAAGUGGGCAUCCUUUAAGUUCGGGAACCAUUGUGGUUUUAUUUGACUGUGUUACCUGCAUCCCUUAUAUAAGUUGUUUUGGAAUCAGGAUUCUGCUUUUUGUAUGGUUAUUCAAACUUUUAGUACCAAAAUUAUGAUAAUUUUAAGCUCACUUCGAGGGGAACGUAACUGAAGUUGAAGUCACAAAACUGUUUUAAUACGCUCUCCUCACCUUAGAUACAACAAAAGGAAUCUCCCUUUUUGUUACUAGGAUUUUGAUCUACAAGUCUUAAUCAUGUUUAAAAUAUGCUAGUGUUGGGUAGAUGAUUUUUUUCUGCCUCUGGGGCUCAAUUUAUAUUUAAAGAUACCUUAAAAUAACUUUCUGGCCCAUCCCUGUCUUUAUUUAUCAUUAAGCUCUGCUUUACCUUGCGUCCAUGGUUUUUUACUGGGACCCACGAGGCCUUAACCAUGAGAAAAGAACCUCAUGCAAGCACAUAACAUCUCCCAGAUCAGCAUCGUUAACAAUGUGUCCAAUUCAUUGUCUUCUCAAAGUGGCUAAGGUGGCUUUAUGCACAUUACCUGCAAAAACCUGCUGGAAUUAAAGCAUUCAGGGAUCACUUAAAAUACACCACAUCCAUAUAUACUUAUGCCAGUUGAGUUUGUGAUUCCCAGUGCUGACCUGCUCAUUAUGAGUCAGAUUCAAGGCUAGGUUACUAUAAGUAACAGCCAACUCUUGAGUAGUUUUUAUAGUCAAGGGACAAUUUUUAAUCUGUUGUAUAAUCACGUAUUUUAUGUCAUCUUCCAAAUUCAUCUGGGGCAAACACCUUCAUUUUUCACCUACGUAGUGUGUAGAUCAUAAAAAUAUUAUUCAUGGCAUGAGUUGGAUUUGGUCAAGAGCCUUAGGAACGGGCAAAAAAGGCAACCCCUGCUGGUGUAGGGUAGUGAGAUGAAGCAGAAUCCCUGCUGCUUUGAUUGCGGGAAAGAGCUUCCUUAGGACAGUUUGAUAAGCAUGCUGCCAACAGCUUUUUUACUUAGAAAUAUUAAUAAAUGUAAGUAAAGCCAC